rnacentral:rRNA from 1 species
UUUAAUAGUCGAACAGACUAGCUCACAUAGCUACUACACUAGGUAGCACCUUUAAUUCAACAUCGAGGUCACAAGAUCUUUUAUCAAUUAGGCCUCUCUAAAAGCAUUGUGCUGUUAUCCCUGAGGUAACUACUCUUUAACUUGUUUAAGAUCUAAAGGGCCUAAAUAGUUGGUGUAUAGACUAGAUAUAUUAAUUUACCGCCCCAGUUUGACACAACAUAAAACAAAGACUCACAUUAGUUAGAUCUCAGUCAGCUCUAGGCCAGCUCUGCAGGGUCUUAUCUUCCCAUUGAUUGAUUUUGAAGUUUUAAUCAAAACCUUAAAUUAUAGCCUCACAGGUUUACAAGUCGUCUUUCAUGAGCCCCUUCAUUCAAGACCCCAAUUAAGAGCCAAAUCAUUAUGCUACCUUUGCACAGUUAAGG